rnacentral:tRNA from 1 species
GGGUAUAGCUGAAGUGGUAGAGUGCAUGCUUAGCAUGCACGAGGUCCUGGGUUCAAUCCCCAGUAUGUCCU